rnacentral:rRNA from 1 species
AAUGAACGAAAGUUUGACACAGCGACACCGCGUGUGGGAUGACGGAUCUAGGUUUGUAAACCACUUUCAGGAGGGAAGAAAAUGACGGUACCUCCACAAGAAGCCCCGGCCAACUACGUGCCAGCAGCCGCGGUAAUACGUAGGGGGCGAGCGUUGUCCGGAUUUAUUGGGCGUAAAGAGCUCGUAGGCGGUUCAACAAGUCGGUCGUGAAAGUUCAGGGCUCAACCCUGAAAUGCGAUCAAUACUGUUGGACUAGGAUACGGUAGAGGUGAGUGGAAUUCCGAGUGUAGCGGUGAAAUGCGUAGAUAUUCGGAGGAACACCAAUUGCGAAGGCAGCUCACUGGACCGCUAUCGACGCUGAGGAGCGAAAGCUAGGGGAGCAAACAGGAUU